UAGGGAAUCUUCGGCAAUGGACGAAAGUCUGACCGAGCAACGCCGCGUGUGUGAAGAAGGUUUUCGGAUCGUAAAACUCUGUUGUUAGAGAAGAACAAGGACGUUAGUAACUGAACGUCCCCUGACGGUAUCUAACCAGAAAGCCACGGCUAACUACGUGCCAGCAGCCGCGGUAAUACGUAGGUGGCAAGCGUUGUCCGGAUGUAUUGGGCGUAAAGCGAGUGCAGGCGGUUUCUUGAGUCUGAUGUGAAAGCCCCCGGCUCAACCGGGUAGGGUCAUUGGAGACUGGGAGACUUGAGUGCAGAAGAGGAGAGUGGAAUUCCAUGUGUAGCGGUGAAAUGCGUAGAUAUAUGGAGGAACACCAGUGGCGAAGGCGACUCUCUGGUCUGUAACUGACGCUGAGGCUCGAAAGCGUGGGGAGCAAACAGG
rnacentral:rRNA from 1 species